GACGAACGCUGGCGGCGUGCUUAACACAUGCAAGUCGAACGGAAAGGCCCUGCUUGCGGGGUACUCGAGUGGCGAACGGGUGAGUAACACGCGGGUGAACUGCCCUCCACUUCGGGAUAAGCCUGGGAGACUGGGUCUAAUACCGGCUAGGAGCCAUUUUUAGUGUGAUGGUUGGAAAGUUUUUUCGGUGUAGGAUGAGCUCGCGGCCUAUCUGCUUGUUGGUGGGGUAAUGGCCUACCAAGGCGGCGACGGGUAGCCGGCCUGGGAGGGUGGACGGCCACAUUGGGACCGAGGUACGGCCCAGACUCCGACGGGGGGCCACAGGGGGGAAGAUUGCACAAUGGGCGCAAGCCUGGUGCAGCGACGCCGCGUGGGGGAUGACUGCCUUCGGGUUGUAAACCCCUUUCGCUAGGGACGAAGCUGUUUGUGACGGUACCUAGAUAAGAAGCACCGGCUAACUACGUG
rnacentral:rRNA from 1 species